AAUGGUUCACCAUAUGCAAGCAUAGGGGAGCCACUAAAUGGCUGUGGGUGAACAUCCUUCACAAGAUAAGGAAACCAGGAUCUCAAAUAGAAUGUGCCUAGAAUGUGUUAAAUAUUACGGCCUCCUCACCGUUCAACAGGCUGGGGAGGAGAACAAAAGAAUAUCUUAACAUGCUGUUUAAGAUAGGUUUACAAACUGAAGCACAACAAUGACAACAUUUAACAAAAUCACUCCAACAGCCCUGACAAGCUCACACACCCCAAAACCCUUCAGGCAGUCUUGUGCAGGCUAGGGGACUAUUGUCUACAUCUCAAAGGGGAGAGGUGCCAGUUUUUCCAGGAAUCAGUGGAAUACCUGGAUCACAUAAUUGACACGAUGGGGUCACACAAGUCACCAGAAAAGGUGACAUUAUGGAAGCUCCAGCGCCAGGUUAUGUAAGCCAGCUACGUUCUUUUCUGGAAAUGCUACACUAUUAUUGAUGUUUCAUACCUGAUUUAGCUACAGUAUUGAAACUGCUGAAUGAGCUCCUCAGUAAUGAGAAGAAAUGGCUGUGGGCAAAUCGCCUGUGAGUCAGUGCUGAGUGCUUUUGUUAGCGCAUAAUUACACCUUGCAGUACCGCAAAGGUAUGUGUCAUGUCACUGCUGAUGGACUGUCACAGCUACCUGUGCCUCUUGCGCAGAAGGAGAAACAAGGAGCAGUAGAGGUAUUCUACGCAUCUCAACUAAACACGUUACCGGUCAGUGUCACCAAGAUCAGAUGUCACACUAUGUCUGAUGUUACUUUUUCUCAUGUCCCGGGAAUGGUAACAAUUGGAUGUUUCCCAGCUGUGAAAGACGUAGAUCAUGUGCUGUCACCCUAUCUGCUGUGCAGACAGCAUCUCACGAUACAGCAGGGAUCCUUCAUAUGGGGCGUGAGAGUGGUUCUGCCACCUAAGCUGCACCCUUUUAUCCUGAAAGGGCUCCACGGUCAUACAAAAGGUGUACAUAUAUAAAAGGAGUCAUAUAAAAGGAGCCAUAUAAAAUGAGUUUUUUAUGUAGGAGCAGCACAAGGAGUAUGAAUAUGCCAUGUGGAUCAGAUGCUGACACGCCCUGAGCCAAUUUCUCAGCAGUUUGCAGUGGAGCCUCCAACAAGCUCUCAAACUUCACUAACCCAGAGUGAGUUACACCAUGCUUCACCCUUGUAUAUCUAAUCAGGAAAAGACUGCUGAACAAGUUCUGAGGACCACAAUACCUCUAGAAACACACCAGUCCAUUGAACCACCAUCAUCUAAGUGUACACAGGUUACAGAAACUCUAAGACAUUACCCGGUGAGGGUCACUAAGCCACCUGUUCGUUACCAUGAUGGAUGAGCGUACUGAGAAUGCAUAGCUUCUCAGAGCAUAGCUUAGUGGGGAGCAGAUGUUAUGUAUGAGUCGAAACAUAUUGUGUGGUAUACAAGCUAACACCAGUAGAGGGCACCACCCCAUGUUGUUUGUGUGUGUGUAACUCUUGGAAAUAAAGGAGGAAAAUAUAACAGUUUGAAAGUGCAGGCAAAUAGAAAGAGGCGAGUAGCCUGGGCAGGGUAGAAGUGGAUACAGCUGUGGGUAAUGAGAAAAGAUGAAAAGAAUGAUUAACAACUUUUUCAUUAAGUCCUAAUCCAUCUGAAAUUCAUAGCCAGUGCUCUGACACGGAGCCAUCACCUUUUCAGGUUAUGUCUAACACUGGUCCGGAAGAAGCAUCAAAUAAUGAGCCAGAUGCGACCGACUCCGAGCCAGAGCCCACUGAAAGAAAAAGGAGAAGCUUUCCAAGGUGCGGUCAGCCUUUGUUUGGAGGGUAUCAACAGAACUCCUUAAACAGCUCCUUGAGGCCCUUGUAAGUGAUGGUGUUUUAAAUGAAUUGGAGAAAGAAUCGAUACUGGAGAAGAACCCUGUCAGAGCAGAUAAGGCACGCUGCUUCAUUGACACAGUGAAGAAGAAAGGGGACAAAGCCUGCAGGAUAAUGAUCAGACAUCUUCAGACUGUAGAUCUCUCUCUUUUCUAUCAGCUACGUUUAUACUCUGAUCCAUCUGUUCAGCAAGAGACUCUUCAAAGUUGUCAGCAUCAUCUUAAAUCCAAGCUGAAGAAGAAGUUCCAGUGUGUGUUUGAGGG